rnacentral:tRNA from 1 species
GAGAUAUUGCUCGGUUGGUCGGGCGCUUGCUUUACAGGCAAGGGGUUAGGAGUUCGAAGCUCUCCGUCUCCA